GAUGAACGCUGGCGGUGUGCCUAAUACAUGCAAGUCGAACGAGCUCUUCGGAGCUAGUGGCGGACGGGUGAGUAACACGUUGGUACCUGCCUCGAAGUGGGGAAUAACUGCCCGAAAGGGUGGCUAAUACCGCAUGCGACCGGAAGGUUAAAGCAGUAAUGCGCUUCGAGAGGGGCCUGCGUCCCAUUAGCUUGUUGGUAGGGUAAAAGCCUACCAAGGCGACGAUGGGUAGCUGGAUCGAGAGGUUGACCAGCCACACUGGGACUGAGAUACGGCCCAGACUCCUACGGGAGGCAGCAGUAAGGAAUCUUCCACAAUGGACGAAAGUCUGAUGGAGCAACACCGCGUGCAGGAUGACGGCCUUCGGGUUGUAAACUGCUUUUAUAUGGGAAGAUUAUGACGGUACCAUAUGAAUAAGCACCGGCUAACUACGUGCCAGCAGCCGCGGUAA
rnacentral:rRNA from 1 species